UAAAGUAAGAAAGAGCGUAUGGCGGAUGCCUAGGCACAGAGAGGCGAAGAAGGACGCAGCAAACAGCGAAAUGCGACGGUUAGCAGUAAGCAUGCAACGAUCCGUCGAUGUCCGAAUGGGGGAACCCACCUGGAGUAGAGACCAGGUAUCCUGAAGUGAAUAAAUAGCUUCAGAGAGGCGAGACUCAGGGAACUGAAACAUCUAAGUACCUGAAGGAAGAGAAAAUAAACGAAUGAUUCCCUAAGUAGCGGCGAGCGAAAGGGGAAGAGCCCAAACCGAUCUUAGGAUCGGGGUUGUAGGACUGUCGGCAAAGAGCAAGAAAUCAUUAUAGGCGAACGGAAUGGGAAGUCCGGCGAAACAGGGUGACAGCCCCGUAGCCGAAAUAGUGAAGAAGCACGAGACAGCACCUGAGUACGGCGGGACACGAGGAAUCCUGUCGGAAUCCACCAGGACCAUCUGGUAAGGCUAAAUACUCCUCUGUGACCGAUAGUGAACCAGUACCGUGAGGGAAAGGUGAAAAGAACCCCGGGAGGGGAGUGAAAUAGAACCUGAAACCAUAUGCUUACAAGAAGUUAGAGCCCGUUAAAGGGUGAUAGCGUGCCUUUUGUAGAAUGAACCGGCGAGUUACGAUAUGGAGCGAGGUUAAGCAGGAUAUGCGGAGCCGAAGCGAAAGCGAGUCUUAAUAGGGCGAAAGUUGCAUGUCGUAGACCCGAAACCGAGUGAUCUAGCCAUGACCAGGUUGAAGUUGGGGUAAAACCCGAUGGAGGACCGAACCGACCCCCGUUGAAACGUUGGCGGAUGAGUUGUGGCUAGGGGUGAAAUUCCAAUCGAACUCGGAGAUAGCUGGUUCUCCCCGAAAUAGCUUUAGGGCUAGCGUCGAGGUAAAGUCGUGUGAAGGUAGAGCACUGAAUAUGUGAUGGCCCCAUCUCGGGGUACUGAACAUAAUCAAACUCCGAAUGUCACAAAGAUAUACUCGGCAGUCAGACAGUGGGUGAUAAGGUCCAUUGUCAAAAGGGAAACAGCCCAGACCAUCAGCUAAGGUCCCAAAAUAUAUACUAAGUGGAAAAGGAUGUGGAGAUGUCCAGACAACUAGGAGGUUGGCUCAGAAGCAGCCAUCCUUUAAAGAGUGCGUAACAGCUCACUAGUCGAAUGACUCUGCGCCGAUAAUUUACCGGGGCUAAGUAUAUUACCGAAGCUAUGGAUUUACGCGUAAGCGUGAGUGGUAGGGGAGCGUUCUAUGUGCGGAGAAGCGGUACCGUAAGGAGCCGUGGAGCGCAUAGAAGAGAGAAUGCCGGUGUGAGUAGCGAAACGUGGGUGAGAAUCCCACGCACCGAAAACCCAAGGUUUCCAGAGGAAGGUUCGUCCGCUCUGGGUAAGUCGGGACCUAAGGCGAGGCCGAGAGGCGUAGUCGAUGGACAACAGGUAGAGAUUCCUGUACUUACGGUAUGAAUGAAGGAGUGACGGAGCAGGCUAGCGCAUCCUGGAGCUGGAAAAGCAGGUGCAAGCGAGGUAGCUGACAACCAGGCAAAUCCGGUUGUCGAAAGGCGAAGGCGUGAAGCGGAUGGAAAGCUAAGGCGAGUACAGAAGAGCGUGAAGCAAGCUUCCAAGAAAAGCUUCUAGUGCUAAUCAUACAGUAACCCGUACCGAAAAUGGACACACAUGGGUGAGGAGAGAAUCCUAAGGUGAGCGAGAGAACUAUAGCUAAGGAACUCUGCAAAAUGACUCCGUAACUUAGGGAUAAGGAGUGCUCAUAGAGAUAUGAGCCGCAGUGAAACGGCCCAAGCGACUGUUUACCAAAAACACAGCUCUAUGCUAAGUCGAAAGACGACGUAUAUGGGGUGACGCCUGCCCGGUGCUGGAAGGUUAAGAGGAUGUGUCAGCGCAAGCGAAGCAUUGAAUUGAAGCCCCAGUAAACGGCGGCCGUAACUAUAACGGUCCUAAGGUAGCGAAAUUCCUUGUCAGGUAAGUUCUGACCCGCACGAAUGGCGUAACGACUUGGGCGCUGUCUCAACAGCCCACCCGGCGAAAUUGUUGUACUGGUGAAGAAGCCAGUUACCCGCAACUAGACGGAAAGACCCCAUGGAGCUUUACUGUAGCUUAAUACUGGAAAUCGGUAAAUCAUGUACAGGAUAGGUGGGAGACUUGGAAGCCAGGGCGUCAGCUUUGGUGGAGUCACCCUUGGGAUACCACCCUUGAUUUGCUGGUUUUCUAACCUGCGGCCGUGAAUCCGGUCGGGGGACACUGUUAGGUGGGCAGUUUGACUGGGGCGGUCGCCUCCUAAAAGGUAACGGAGGCGCUCAAAGGUUCGUUCAGCACGGACGGAAACCGUGCAGUGAGUGUAAACGCAUAAACGAGCCUAACUGCGAGACCGACGGGUCGAGCAGUAACGAAAGUUGGAGUUAGUGAUCCGGCGGUAUGCAAGUGGAAGUGCCGUCGCUCAACGGAUAAAAGCUACCCUGGGGAUAACAGGCUGAUCUCCCCCAAGCGUCCACAGCGACGGGGAGGUUUGGCACCUCGAUGUCGGCUCGUCACAUCCUGGGGCUGUAUUCGGUCCCAAGGGUUCGGCUGUUCGCCGAUUAAAGUGGCACGCGAGCUGGGUUCAGAACGUCGUGAGACAGUUCGGUCCCUAUCUGUUGCGGGCGUAAGAGAUUUGAAGGGAGCUGUCCUUAGUACGAGAGGACCGGGAUGGACGUACCUCUGGUGCACCAGUUGUCCUGCCAAGGGCAUAGCUGGGUAGCUAUGUACGGACGAGAUAAACGCUGAAGGCAUCUAAGCGUGAAACUCCCCCUAAGAUUAGAUCUCUCAUUCGAAAGAAGUAAGGCACGACGUAGACUAUGUCGUUGAUAGGCCGGAGGUGGAAGCACGGUAACGUGUGCAGCUGACCGGUACUAAUAAGCCGAGGGCUUGACCUU
rnacentral:rRNA from 1 species